rnacentral:rRNA from 1 species
UACGUAGGGCGCAAGCGUUGUCCGGAAUUAUUGGGCGUAAAGAGCUCGUAGGCGGUCUGUCGCGUCGGAUGUGAAAGCCCGGGGCUUAACCCCGGGUCUGCAUUCGAUACGGGCAGACUAGAGUGUGGUAGGGGAGAUCGGAAUUCCUGGUGUAGCGGUGAAAUGCGCAGAUAUCAGGAGGAACACCGGUGGCGAAGGCGGGUCUCUGGGCCGAUACUGACGCUGAGGAGCGAAAGCAUGGGUAGCGAACAGG